AGUGAACGCUGGCGGUAGGCCUAACACAUGCAAGUCGAACGGCAGCACAGUAAGAGCUUGCUCUUACGGGUGGCGAGUGGCGGACGGGUGAGGAAUACAUCGGAAUCUACUUUUUCGUGGGGGAUAACGUAGGGAAACUUACGCUAAUACCGCAUACGACCUACGGGUGAAAGCAGGGGAUCUUCGGACCUUGCGCGAUUGAAUGCGCCGAUGUCGGAUUAGCUAGUUGGCGGGGUAAAGGCCCACCAAGGCGACGAUCCGUAGCUGGUCUGAGAGGAUGAUCAGCCACACUGGAACUGAGACACGGUCCAGACUCCUACGGGAGGCAGCAGUGGGGAAUAUUGGACAAUGGGCGCAAGCCUGAUCCAGCCAUACCGCGUGGGUGAAGAAGGCCUUCGGGUUGUAAAGCCCUUUUGUUGGGAAAGAAAAGCAGCAGGUUAAUACCCCGCUGUUCUGACGGUACCCAAAGAAUAAGCAUCGGCUAACUUCGUG
rnacentral:rRNA from 1 species